GGCCGCGGUCCUAACCGUGCGAAGGUAGCGCAAUCACUUGUCUCUUAAAUGGGGACCUGUAUGAAUGGCAUAACGAGGGCUUAACUGUCUCCUUCUAGUCAAUGAAAUUGAUCUCCCCGUGCAGAAGCGGGGAUACUACCAUAAGACGAGAAGACCCUAUGGAGCUUUAGACACCAAGGCAUAUCAUGUUAAGACCCCCUUAAAUAAAAGACUAAACCUAAUGAGCCAUGCCCCUGUCUUAGGUUGACCCCGGGGAAAUAAAAACCCCGAGUGGAAUGGGAUACUACCUUCCUUCAACUAAGAGCUGCAGCUCUAAUUAACAGAAUUUCUGACCAAUAAUGAUCCGGCAACGCCGAUUAACGAACCAAGUUACCCUAGGGAUAACAGCGCAAUCCCCUUUUAGAGUCCCUAUCGACAAGGGGGUUUACGACCUCGAUGUUGGAUCAGGACAUCCUAAUGGUGCAUCCGCUAUUAAGGGU
rnacentral:rRNA from 1 species